rnacentral:lncRNA from 1 species
CGCCUGGCCCUCACCCAUGGCCAGCUCCUGACACGCGUGUGCCCCGCUCCGCCCCCUCACACCCCCACCGCCAGCCCGUGGGCCUCCGCUCAUCCCCAGGGCUUCCCACCAGGCGGUGGGCCCCCCUCUCCCUCUGCUUCAGUGCCGCCCCCGGGGCCAGGCGGCCUCCUGCCCCCUGGGGCCGCCCGCCAGGAACGCCGCGCUGAAGGCCGCCAUCCCCACACCACCGCCACCUGUGCGCGUGGCAGCGCGUGUGGGCAGAAAGGACCCAGGGCUCUGACUGCCGCCAAGCGCCUCCCACGCUCCCUCCUGUCCUGCGGCCGGGAAUCUUCCCAGCCGGCUUGGAGAACACUCGAGGGCCAAGGUAGGUGGGGACCCGCUCCACCUGCAGAGUUCCGACGAGUGUGUUUGGACACACGUCGGCCCCUGCGCAGAAGCACGACCCUCCUGAGCACCCUGACCGUGGCCAUCCCCCACACAGUCGCCGGGGUCCUUGCCCCGCCGCCUCGCCGCCCUCUUCCUGCGGCCCUGCCUGGAGAAGCGGUCCCCGGGAGGACCUGGGGGCUCUCGGGCGCCACAGGCGGGGUGUGGCACACCGCGUGCACGCUGUGCGCCCGCUUCUGUCAGCGCGGGGCGGGCUGUGGUCGGGGAAGGGAGUCUUCCCCAUGCGUCGAGCGGGCGGUGGAGCGGGGAAAGGACCCAGAGGUGCUCGUGCAGCGCGCGGCCCCAGCCCCGCUGAGCCCGGCGGAACGUCGUCCUCGGGCCCGACUCGGGGCCGGCGGCCGAGGCCCGGCUGCGCGCCGCCCCUGGGCCUGCCGUGCGCUCCUGCCCCGGCGCGGGGCGCGGGGGCGGCGCGGCUGGCCCCGCGGGCCUGGGGACCCGCGCGCCGCAGCGACCAGAAAGUCCCGGUCAGCCUGCCCCGAGCUCCGCGGGCCUGGGAGCCCGGCGCCGCGCGCCGCCGCGCGCCGCCGCCGCGGCCGCCGCCGCCGGCGGCUCGGCAGUGUGGCGCGGGAGCAGCCGCCAGGCCGUCCCGAUGCGCGCGCGCAGGAGCCCCGCAGGCUGGGGAGCCGCCGCCGCCGCCGCCGCCGCCGCCGCCAGGUAGUGGCCGUUGCACUGCGGGAGGCCGCGGGCCCACCAGAGCAUGGGCAGCUGCUUCUCCGUGUUGCUUUGGUCCUGCUGCCGUGCUCUUCCGGCGGGCGCUGAGUGUGAAAUGCCCCAGGAAGCGGGGCGGGGAAGAGGUUGAGGAUGGAAGAAGGCGAGCCGGCAUGGGUGGGGGGAGCAGGCGCUGCAGGAAAGGGAAGCGAUGGGACCACAUACAAACUCAGGUCCGGGUACCCGAUUUCGCAGCCAAGCCAAUCAGUGAGAAGUCAGGGGUGCAGCAAGGAAAGAGGUUUAUGAUCAAGAGGCGGCCAGACAAGGAGGUGCGACUGUCACUCGUAUUUCUUCGUGGGUCACAAGUGCGAAGUCAGUGGGGUUCGACGCGUUGCACGCCGAGGAUCUCUGUCCGUGACGCGGAAAGUGGGCGAUCCGUCAUUUCAGCUGGUCCAAGCCUCUGCACGAUGUCCGCUCGGGCGGGGUCCGGGGGGGCUGCCAUCAAGCUGCUCUCUGAUCUGCCGUCUUCCUGUUGUUCUGCAAAACAACCUCAGAAACUUUGGUUACUUUCUCGCCCACGUCCACCCCUGUGGGGGCCGGGCACCGUGUUGUCAGUAACGGCAGGGUUUUCCUCUUGGGUCACCCUCCCCAACAGUGUGGAGGAUGGGGUUCAAGCGGGGAUGGGGGGGGUGCGGUGUGCCAGGAGGCCAGCCGGCAAGAUCAGUAAAGGAGUCUACUGGGCUGGGUUGCGUGCAAGAGACAGGAAGGCAUGCGGCAGAACAGCGGGGACGGCAAAGUCGGGA